CCCGCCCCAGACGACGCCCCCGAGCCGGCUAGCCCUUGGCUCCGACCCUCGCCGAACAGGCUGGUUGAUUCUGUCUGUUUUUCCUCUCGGGAAAGGUGCAGCACUCCAGCGAUGCCUCGGAGGAAGGAUCCUGGUCUCUGCUCAGGAGAAACACCCACACUAGGAAAGCUAUCUCCCUUCAAGGGAACUCGGAAGGGAGUUACAAGAAGUGGGCGCUGGAGACUGGCUCGGAAGGAGCUGUCUUUGGGCAGGGUUGCCAACCAGUGCUGGACUCUUACCUCGCGUGGCAUGACAUCACCUCCUCGUCAAGUUGUUACAGGCCAUUGUCUCAGCCCCAGACAAUACAGUCUUGGCGCCGCCUACCCCAUGACGCUCUCAGCUGCUUCAAGGCCCAUAACAGGAUGGAAACUGAGGCACAGCCCUGCCCUCCUUUGUAGCCCCGUAUUGUCUACUCGCACACCCAACGGUGUGUGCACCCAACACAGGGCCGACACCAGACUAGAGCAGAGGGCAGCAGGGGGCCCAGAGGCAAGCGCUCAACCUAACAGAAGACUCACACAUCUGCGCAUCGAGCAAGGGGUGUAGUAAGAAGUCCAGUUUCGAAAGCCUCGGCAUGGAGCUGUGUCUUCAGCCCAUGAGCCAACUACUGCUGACAGAAUCCAAAUGGAAUCACUGUCAAAACCCUACUCAAAUGAGGCUGAGGAUGAUGAUACCAGCCUCUAAUCUCAACACUUGGAAGCCUGUGGCAUUGGGAUUGCUCGUCAGCCUGGAGUACAUGGUGAGUUGCAAGCCAGUUAGGGGUACCUAGGGAGACCCUGUCACAAGAGAAACCUGCCUAGGGCCGGGGAGAUGGCUCAGAAGGUAAAAGUGCUAGCUGCACAAACCCGAGGACCCUAAUUUGAUACCUGGAACCAUGUAAGAGGCUGCAUUCUGUGGCAUGUGGCUGUAAUCCUAGUGCUCCUGUGGCUGAGAUGCUAGGCAGACAGGAGGAGCCAGCUAGCCUAUAGUAGACCACCUCUCUACUUGAAGUCUCUCGACAAGGGCACCUUAGCCUUGAUUGUGCUCUAAGGAGCAAACAGUCAGAGACAGGAAGUGCACUCAAUUUUUAUUCUAAUACAGGUGGUGAUAAAGAACCAGCCUGCCUCCAUCUUAGGCUUAAAAGCCAUCUUUUUCUUUCUUCCUUUUUUCUUUUUAAGGCUUAUUUAUUUAUUAUGUAUAGUGUUCUGCCUGCAUGUAUCCUUGCAAGCCAGAAGGAAGGUACCAGAUUCCAUUGGAGAUGUUUGUGAGCCACCAUGUGGUUGCUGGGAAUUGAAAUCAGAACCUCUGGAAGAACAGUCAGUGCUCUUAACCUCUGAGCCACUUCUCCAACCCUAAAAGCCAUCUUAUAAUAAAGACAAACUAGGUUCAUUCCUGUUUAUGAUUAAACCUGUUUCUCAAGGAUUGAACUGUGCCCUACUUGUCACCUUGACUACACAUGGUUCUGUGCUGCCUGUUCAAGGAAUGGCAAUCCUGUCUUUGUUUCAAAAAGUUGUUUAUAACCAUCUUGCAAUCCUACUUUUGUUUCAAAAGGUUAUCUGACCCCCUAUGACCACCUUGUUAUGCCCACCUGUUGUUUUGACUUUCUUGUUAUGCCCACCAUGCAACCACAUCCUUGUUUAAGGAGGUCACUAGGACUAACUGGCUAUGUUUGUGUUCUGCUCCUGUAACCCCUGUUUUGCCUGCCAAAUCCCCCAUUCGGGAAACCCCCUACCCUUGAGCUAUAAAAGCCUUAUCUUCCUCACAUCCAGUGGUGACCUCUUGAAUCUCACCUUAAGGGUUGACAGCCCCUAUUCAGAAAUAAAACGUUU